GUGACCUCAAAUCAGGUAGGACUACCCGCUGAACUUAAGCAUAUCAAUAAGCGGAGGAAAAGAAACUAACAAGGAUUCCCCUAGUAACUGCGAGUGAAGCGG
rnacentral:rRNA from 1 species